rnacentral:rRNA from 1 species
GUAAGCGCAGAGAUGCGUUGAGCUGACCAGUACUAAUGAACCGUGAGGCGUAACCUGACAACACCGAAGGUGUU